CUUUGUUACAUCAACAUUCCGUUGUCAACAUUAAAGCAUUGAAUCAACAUGAACUCUGAUGUUGAUUCUAGAGGAGCAAGUUGGACCUUGAUGCUGUGACAACAGACAAGUCUUCUUCCUCUGUCCUUUUUCCCUGCCUCUGUUCAGUAUUGUGGCAGACGCCAGGGAGGAGUGAGGGGAGCGGUAGGUCCGGCAACCUGCUGGCUCCACCCCCAAGCCAUAUAUGGACUUCCUCACGUUAACGAGGCGAGCCUGGGGAUCAUUAAGCAGGGUAGCUGGGGCUUAAGAGGGCUAGCCAACAGACAUGUGGGGAAGUUGGAGUUGGAAGAGGAGCUAGGGCUAGGUGAGGACAGGCAGGAUCUGUGUGAUCGCCUGGCAGAGUGGUACGCCUUAAGGGAGAGAGAUAGGUGGAAGGGGUUGGACGGACAUUGGAACUUUAGCAUAUAAGAGGUGGAUGACCCUUUCCCACCCUGGUUUGCAUUUACAAGCCCUCAACUGCCAGCAAUGCGUCAUCGCCAUCCACCUCGUCACCUGCAAACUUCCAGCCAUCCAUCUCAUCACAGACAGCCUUCCUCCAGCCAUCCAUCUCAUCACAGGCAGCCUUCCUCCAGCCAUCCAUCUCAUCACAGGCAGCCUUCCUCCAGCCAUCCACCUCAUCACAGGCAGCGUUCCUCCAGCCAUCCAUCUCAUCACAGGCAGCCUUCCUCCAGCCAUCCAUCUCAUCACAGGCAGCCUCCCUCCAGCCAUCCACCUCGUCCUCAUCGGAAGCCUCCCUUGAGCCAUCCUCGCCAGAGGCCUUCUUUGAGGCAACAGCUCUUCCCCGGCCCAAUUUGCCAGCAUUCAGCCCAUCCACCCCUUCAGCCUCCAUGAUGUCACCAUCUCCUCCUUCCCACACAGGAAGGAAGAGGAAAAGAAGGGGGCAGCUGGAUGACUUCAUGAGUGAAAGGGUGGCAGAUUUGGAGGAGCGGAGGCAGACUGUGCUGUCACUUGAGAGCAUGGUUGCCCCUGAUGAGUAUGCGAGAUUUGGCCAGGUUGUGGGGGACCUGGCGAGGACUGCAUUACAGGAGAGUAGGCACCCUUUAAUGAUGAGGAUUUUGCAAUGUUUGAUUUCGGCACAGGGCGUAGAAAACUUAAGAGAAUGCCCCUAAGCACUAUGUAAAUAUUUGUUUUAUUCAUAAUUGGUUUGUUUUGUUCUGCACUCUUCUGAUACUUUUGUUCUCUUCUAUUGUUUGGAUUUUGCAUGUUUAUUUUAUUAUUUAUAGUUGUGAAUUUUGUACAGCACUGUUCUUAUACUUUUGUUCUCUUGUUUGGAUUUUGCUCAUUGUAUUUUUAUUAUUCAUAUUUUGUACUUACUGUUCUUGUACUUUGCACUCUUAUUUUACACUUGUAUAAAUAAAAUGGCAAAUAA
ensembl:lncRNA